rnacentral:antisense_RNA from 1 species
CUUGAUCGAGCCGAGCCGCAGCGGCCGGCCCUCGGGCCGGUCCUGGCCGUAGGUCGCCAGCAGCGCCUGCGCCUC